CGAGUCUGGCUCCAGAGCCUGAGCUCGCAAGACAGCGUCUAGAAGCUGUUUAAAGCACGACCAAUAGUAUCUGAUGCUCUGGUGUUGCAGAUGUCUUAGUAAAGCAGAGGGUGGCCAAGGUGGGGCUCUGUGUGCCAACCGCUUCCUUCUAAUCUACCAGCCUUCCAAGACAGAAGCAUGUCUGGACCGUUCACCUCCGUGGCCCAGCAGACCCCCCAUCGUGCCUUGUGGCUCCCUGAACACCUGUUGCACAGAACGUGCCCAGCAAUUAUUUCCACGGAUAGUGAUUCCAAGUAAAAUAAGGAGAGAAAAGUACACAGCUGCCCUCCAAGACCUCGAGGGACUUGGGAGGGAGAGUGAGGGCAUCAGAAAACAAGGGCUGAUGUCAAGGCCAGCUGAAUCAAUAAUGGUCUCACAUCUUAUAGUGAGAGAGUCAUUAUAAAGAAAAACAACGCUAUCUCAAAACAGUGGCAAUGUCAAAGCACAACCCUACUACAUCUUUGAUUUCCAAAAAAAAAAAGGAGACUGGGAAGAUCCCUUGUGAACCUGACUCCAAUCUAGCAAAUGGUCCAUCCUAACGGCACAGGCACCCAGAGCGGGCUCGUCAUCACGUGUGGACGUCCGCUGGUCUCCCCGCCAUUGGUUCUCACGUUGCACAACAAGGCUCACAACAAGGAUGGAGACCACACACACAGUUUUCCCCGAUGCGCAGGCGGUGUCAGUCCCCAGACUGGGCCCACCCGCUGCCGACGUCUGCUGCGUCCAGGUCAGGAUUUCAGCAGAGGGUCCCGGCCCGCAGCCUGUUCCCCUUCUCUUGCAUCCCCACGUGAUCCGCAUCGUGAGGGGCCCCGUGCACGCCUGUGGACACCGCAGCCUGCACACCCCCAUCCCUAGCUGCUCAGCCAAGGUGUAGGCACACCAGGGGCCCAGGCAGGACUCCCGGAAGCCAGGGACAUUCAGGCAGAGAAUUCAACCGUGAGAUCUGAAAAGGGAAGGUCAUGGGCCCGUGAAGAGGCCACAGACAGAAGGGGGCCUUCCAGAGUGUGGGGUGCCUAUUGGGCCGUGUGCCUUUCAGUGUCCUUGACCCAGAGCUCAGACGUCUUAGGCCAUCCCGCAAGUAAGCUGCAAUGGCCUCUGAAGAGAAGCUCCCUGCCUCCUUCCCUCAGGGGAAAGUGCUAGAGAGCCCAGGAGACUCACAGCCCAAGAUCUGUCCCCUUUAACCAGCAGACCCCGCAGUGACAAGACCUUCCUGAUCCCGGUCCUCUAGAAGACCAAGACCAUCCCCAGGCUCCCCACGUGGUUGGCCGCACUCCCAGGCUGUUAAGGCACUAGGCCAAUAGGAGACUUGUUUUCCAAUGGGGAUCCCGGGAGGAGGAGGUGUGGCUCUCAAUGGGAACAGCCCAGGGUCCAUGGGAAGGACAGCGGAACCCCGAGUGGGUUCCAGGAAGGACACCUGCAGAAAGGACUCUCCAAAGAACUGAACAAGAGAGUGGAUGCAAACACACCUGGCCCACAGGAGGGACUCGAACGCCUCUGGUGACGUGGCUGGCAGCAGCGACAUUGUCUUGAGUGACUCUGUGCCAGGCACCUGCAGCGUGCGCUUUGCUAGAUCAUUCCUUUGAUCACAACAAUCAGCGGAGCUUUGCUCUCAUAUGGCCGUUGAGAGGAGUGAGGCCAGGAUCCCCCAGCUGGUCAGCAGCCAGGCCAGGAAUCGCACGCGGGUCCGUCCAUCUGCCUCCCAAUCCUCCUUCCCAGUCCCCACCCCCCGCCACACCAUGCUCAACGCCUCAGCUGGUCUUCCUGCAGACUCUGAGGAGAACCCCCCACACGCCUACCUGCCCCCAGCUCCCAGGACAGGCUGGAGGUUAAACAACGCGGCCAAGACUCCAGGCCCCCUGCUUUGCCAACACCCUAGAGCUCUCUGUGUUCCUGUCCUGUGUGCAAAGCUCCUGGAAAACCCAUCCCCAGGAGGACAAGCUUGCAGAUAAGCCAACCAACCACACCCAGAAAAGUGUCUCACCUCAGCACAUUUUUUUUAAGUUUAUUUAUUUUGAGAGAUACGGAGACCGCGCUAGUGGGGGAGGGCAGAGAGAGAGGAGAGAGAGAGUCCCAAGCAGGCUCCACGCGGUCAGUACAGAGCCAGACGCGGGGCUCGAACCCAUGAACCUGUGAGAUCACGACCUGAGCCGAAACCAAGAGUCUGAUGCUUAACCGACUGAGCCACCCAGGCGCCCUUCACCUCCGCACAUUUUGAGUACACUUUACAAGGAGACCCACAGCCAGCUACUUGGUGGACCAAAGACUCGGGUAGCAAUAUAGGGUACGGCUCACAACCACCUGAGUCUGUCUGGUUCCCAAAAAUCAUGCAAAAUAGACCCUGUUUUCACUAC